GAAUAAGAAGCGAAUUAUUGCUAUCGGUUUCGACCCGAUGAUUGGCUUCUUAGCCCUUAUUCU
rnacentral:tRNA from 1 species